rnacentral:rRNA from 1 species
CCUACGGGAGGCAGCAGUGGGGAAUAUUGCACAAUGGGCGCAAGCCUGAUGCAGCGACGCCGCGUGGGGGAUGACGGCCUUCGGGUUGUAAACUCCUUUCAGCCAUGACGAAGCCCUUGUGGUGACGGUAGUGGUAGAAGAAGCACCGGCUAACUACGUGCCAGCAGCCGCGGUAAUACGUAGGGUGCGAGCGUUGUCCGGAAUUACUGGGCGUAAAGAGCUCGUAGGUGGUCUGUCGCGUCAUUUGUGAAAGCCCGGGGCUUAACUCCGGGUUGGCAGGUGAUACGGGCAUGACUGGAGUACUGUAGGGGAGACUGGAAUUCCUGGUGUAGCGGUGAAAUGCGCAGAUAUCAGGAGGAACACCGGUGGCGAAGGCGGGUCUCUGGGCAGUAACUGACGCUGAGGAGCGAAAGCAUGGGUAGCGAACAGGAUUAGAUACCCUGGUAGUCCAUGCCGUAAACGGUGGGCGCUAGGUGUGGGUUUCCUUCCACGGGAUCCGUGCCGUAGCUAACGCAUUAAGCGCCCCGCCUGGGGAGUACGGCCGCAAGGCUAAAACUCAAAGGAAUUGACGGGGGCCCGCACAAGCGGCGGAGCAUGUGGAUUAAUUCGAUGCAACGCGAAGAACCUUAC